rnacentral:tRNA from 1 species
GCGUCCGUAGCUCAGGGGAUAGAGUAGCUGGCUACGAACCAGUUGGUCGGGGGUUCGAAUCCCUCCGGACGCA